AUCCAUGUUCUCGUAUUUUUUUAUGGUUAUUAAUAUAGGGUUUUUUCAAAAAUUUUGUUAAAUCUGUCAUUUUCCUUCUAUCUGUUGAACUUAUUGAGGAACCAAUCAACAAUAAUAGAAACAAACUAAAUGUCGAAAUAUAAAAGGAUCCUAGAAAAUUCAAUAGGAUUCCGAGAAUGGUUCCGUAGGUUCGUAUAUGAUUUUAAAGGUUCCAUUACAUUCUAAGAGGAUUCGGACAAGUUUAAAAUCAUCCCAAUUCCAAAAUUCACAAAUCACAACCCACCUAAGAUAUAAGAUACCGAAUACAAUAAACAUUCUUCUUCGCAAUAUUAGAUGCCCUAUUUUAGAGUUUUUAUAAGAGCUUUUAUUAAUCUUCUUAAAACAUUUAAGAACGGCAAAAGUCAACUCUAAGAGUUAUCCAGAAGUUCUUGAUGUUAUCUUUUCUCUUUAUUAAAGGCGAUUAUUUAAAGACCUUUACGAAUAAUUGAGCUCUUUAAAAGUUUUUUUGUGGAUCUUUAAGAGUUUCCAAAAUUGCUUAAUCGUCUUCAAGAGCCUUUUAGAAUUAAUAGAGUGUUUUAAAAUUUAACUAACAGCCCUUUAAGGAACUUUUUUAUGAGCAGAGCGUUAUACAUACGAGGAUAUUAGUCUUUCAAAGAGCAGAACCUUUAAGAGAUUUUAUGAGCUUUGAUUAUCUGUCGGCAAUUAAGGAUUAAGUAUCAAUAGUUUUAAAGGCUCUCGAAGGACUCCCAAGAGCAUUCUAGACAUUAAAAGUUUUGAACCAUAUUUCAGAGAAUCAGAGCUUUUUUCUAAAAGUCCUUAGAAUCCCUAAUAACUUUCCUUUAGAAUCUUUGUAGUCGAGUCGUCUUACAUUGGCAAUUUUCAAUUUGUUUAAAAUGUAAUGUUAAAUAAUGGUAAUGUGAUAUUAUGGUAAAAGUGUGGGCCUCCUUUAGUAUCGGUGUGUAAACCCAGCUUUAGAUUACUCCCAGUAAAACUGGCACCAUCGCUUCAGCGUUUAUAGGUUAUGUGUUUAAAUUCAAAAAAACAUGAAAAAUUAACAUGCAAGCGCCAAUUUUAGCUACAAUUUUAUUAAUAUACGGCGUAAACGCAAAUUACAACGAAGACUGCCUUAAUCUGCAAGUCUCAAUCUCGCAAAAAGUUGAAAAUGAAGGUUUUCACAGAGAGAUAAACUGGUUGAUCGAGUCGCUCGACUUGAAUCACGACGAGUGGAGCCGUUCCUAUUGCGAGAUCGCAUUACGUCUCAACAUACCUUCGGAAAUGUUCGUUAACCCGGACGAGAUUGGCGAACUCAACCGUACGGGACAGAUUUCAGCGUAUAUCGAGGGGUAUGUUAACGUCGAGACUCCGGCUCACGAGUCGAACGAGCAUCAGCUGUAUGUGUUCUUGAGGGGACACGAUAUAAGGAAGAUGUCUGUACGGGUACCGAUACAUUUGAGAUAUCAAAGGGCGGUCAUCGCCGGAGGUUCUGUCUCCCAGAUAGCUUCCGAGAUCAUCCGCCCUUUCAACCAGUUUCGUAGGCAACCAACCAUGGUCUUCAUAUGCCUCUCAGACCGUCCAGUUUUUAAUAACAGAAGGAGGAAUUUUGCAAAGAAUCUUAGGAGUACUGGACAUAUAUUUAAGAAAUUGUAGAGGGGAGAAAAUGCUUCAGAAGUUUUUCAGAAAUGGAAAUACUAAGGAAGGAAAUGUUUGACACAUUUCAAGAUUUUCAAAACGUGCAGCGCGUUCAACCUGGGACACACGGUAUAUGAUAAGACAGUGGAUAUCCCCUCACCGUAGAAACAAGGCUUUCCCUAUUAAUAGCGAAGAAGAUCUCUAGGGCAACCGCUGCUAAUAGCGUAGACCUGAACACGUACCGCUGCUUCAUGGUGUAGAAACUCUAUCGCUCCUAUGCGUGGACGUAUCACAGCGAUCUGUUGCACCUUCGCCUACGACCCCGAAGAGGGAGAAGAAACACCAGAUGAACGCGCUAAGGAAUUUUCUUAGACACCACCACAGCCAGUAUCAUCUUUGCCAGCGACUCGAAAGCGUCUUCACUGGAAGCUGGUGGGUACCGCACGUAGAUGAUUUUGCUCAAAACUUACACGGGAAGAAAGUAUUCUCCACAAUAGACCUCGUCAGAGCAUACCACCACAUCCCAGUGGCAGACAAGGACAUCCGCAAAACGGCAAUAAGAACACCUUUCGGACUAUAUUCUACACUUUUUUAAGUUGCGGUAGCUGGGGUGCAGGGGUGGAUGCCAAAACGAAGCAGACCAACCUUCCGUUCAGGACCUGAGUCAUUAAAAGUUCGUGUUCCGCUUGCAGAAGUGAUUGAACGUGAUCAUACCUAACAGUAACUCAAGAGGGUCUUAGAACUCCCCUCUGCUUUUCCAAGAAUACUUCCAAUUUUCAAAAUCAGUGAAAUUUUCUAGGAAUCACACUUGACAAAAAACUGAAUUGGAGCAAACAUAUCAGCUCAAAACCGAAAAAGCAAAAAAGGGCUUGCUGGGGAUGUCUCCGCGCAAUUGGGAGACUUUGGGGACCAUCCCCGAAGGCUGUGCACUGUUGUGACCUAUGCUCUUCUAUGGAGCAAUUGUUUGCAUCGCAUGGGUUUGGUAGAAUCAAUAUCUUGUAGAGGAUGUUACACAGACGAUGAGAUGGCCACCACAUACUUUGUGAAUGUCCUGGUCUAGACUGAGACGAUCCAUGUUAGAGGAAUCCUGGCCGCUUCUG